ensembl:lncRNA
CUAAAAUGUAGGUUUUGGAAACAAAUACUUUGCUGUUUCACUUUCAUAGCUAAACGUCAACAGACACAAUCUCCCCGUGUCCCCAAAGUGUGAAAUCUUUCUCCCCUUCAUUCUUUUAUGUUUCAAAAGGGAACUUUGAAGACUGUGAAUACAGGUUCCAUUGGUCACCUUUCGGGCUUCUUUCCCCAGUGCUGAAGCCACUCAUCGACUUUGCAAAAGACUGGAGCAUUCCAAGAUCUGAAAAUGUAGUGGUUUUUUUUUUUCUUUUUUCUUUUUCUUUUUUAGCCAGGACUAUUUUUAUGAAUUUGUUCUUAGUUAAAGAGUAGAUCCUGAACUGUUGUACAUAUUUCUAACUAGGCUGAUGCACAGUGCAAAUUCCUUUUUAAUUUUUUUAAGUAGAAAUACUAAAGAAUACCAUCUUAUUCAUAUCAGUAUCCAGUUGUAGCAUAAGGUGUCAAAAACAAGUACACAAAACAUUUACUGUUUUAACAGGCUAUUUCCUUUUAACAAGAAUUCUUGUAUUUCUCCCUGUGUUUGAGAUGAACAUUUUUAAAUUUUAAAGUUGUACAGUUUUUUGUUUUCCAUUAUUUUAUCUUGUUUGUAACUCUAUGAAAUAUAUAUAUAUAUUUUUUGCCAUUUAACUGUUGUAUGUUACUCUGUGUCUGUAUCAUAGAAAAAAAUUGUUUUUGUUUUUGGUUCUCUGUGUGAUACCAAUUAACAAUUUAACACUAGCUUUACCUGUCAAAUUCUGCUAGGUCUUCUCUGAAAACUGUUUUUUAAAAUGAUAUUGCUUGGUAAUAGUGCAAUUUCUAUCCCUUUCCCUCCCCCUCAACUUCAAAUUCCUUUGUAAUUUUGCCACCCUUUCCCUAAUUUUUUUUUGAGCUACUAUGCCAUCCUUCCUGUGUAAGGCAGUGACUGUCAGUGUUUUGUACUGCCAUGCCUUGACUUGUGGGUGUGUUUGGCAACAAUAAGGUGGUUGGGUAGAUUGGCUAAGCAUGCUUCCACCCACCAGUAUUCCUCAGAGGGGUUAUGUGAUUGUUUCAACCUGGAGUGGGUUGCACACUUAAUGCUUUCCUCUACAACUAUACCGCCCACAUACAUGUUCAUUCAAAAAAGAAAUAGCAAUUCUCAGCACUAACCCAGAAGUAGCAAAGCAGUCAGUGAUGGUGAAAAUUAGAAGUCAGACAUGAUCCAGUCACCUCACCAGACUGACCCGCAGAAUUGGGGUUAUUUCAUCUGUCCUUUCAAAAAAAGGAAAACACAUACACAAAAGUUUAAUACAUCUAGAAAGUUUUUUUUUUUAAUUAAAAGCUAUUUAAAGAGAUGAAUGUGGCCAAAGUUUUACACAAUUGAAAAUAAAGUAAGACAGAUGGCAUGUGUUUAAACCUGAGUUUAUCAGGCAUGGCAGGAAGUUGCAAGAGAGUGAGGCAAUGACCCAAGCCAGUGCACUUGAUGUUCAUGGACAUAUAUUUUUUUUAAAUAAUAAAUUAAAUUAAUACAUUUUAAAUAGAAGCAUAAAUUGAGUUGGUUGGUUGUUGGCGCUGAGAUACUGCCCACUGUGAAACAAAGCUUUGACUAGUUUUUUGUUUGUUUACUUUCUUCAGGGGUGGAGGGGGGACAAGUUUGGGUAGGAAAGAAAGCAUAAAUGAACGUGACCCUGAGGUGAAGAGGUAUAUGAACAGCCUUUGCAAUGUAUAAAAAACAAAAAAACACACAAAAAAACCCACAAAAAACAAAAAAAUAGAGCAAGUGAAACCAAAAAUGAUGUUCUUGGUGUUUUUCUAUAAUGUAGUCUUGUUAGCUUUUUUGUUACUGUAACAAUGCUGAUCUCGAACUGUACCAAAAUACAUGGAGAGUAACAAACAGAACCACAUGGAACUUUCAAACUGAAAAAAGAAAUUUGUCACAAAAACUUUGUUGUCAUAGUUAAGUUGAUUGUAGAUGGUAAUUGAAUAUACUCCUUUGAAAUAUUUCAUCAAGUAUGUUUCCUGCUCAUUGUGAUACAUUAAAAAAAUAUGAG